CAAGCAAAGAUUACAACUCACUUCAUUAUGGCGGUCUGGAACCAAACCCUCCAAGAGAAAAAAAUUCCAGUCAGCCUUACAACGUGAGAGAGCUGGGCUCUGAGAUUUCAAGCCCUGAGGUGAAGAGACUAUGUGUGUAGCCCAUGGAAGCCUGGGGAACCUUCUACAGUGUUGCAGGGCCAGCGCUGGUGCAGCACGGAACACAGGAGUUUUAUGAUUUCAGAGGUGACAGCUCGAAGAGCACCAGGGACAUACAAGUCC